GACUGCGACAUGGAGCCAGAAAUGCAGAGUAGAUAGAAUUAAAACACCUUCACCUAAGCGCUCAUUCUGUUCAAAACUGCGAAACCUGUUUAAUAAUGCCUUUAGAUAAAGUGAGAGCACAUAAACUGCAGAUGAUACACUGUGAUUACAUUCUGUGCGAAUAUGUACAGCCUUUGUCAAAAGUAUGCAGGCCACUUCGUGCCAUCACCAUGUAUGUCAUGCAGCUGUGUGGUGAGGUUCCUGGGGCACUCCUGACAUUCCAGACCUCUGGAUAACGAGAACAAGACAUUGGGCAUUGGAACUUAAGGUGUAACACAGGAACUACCUUAAACAGCCUGGCAGUUGCACAUAACGUAGCCUGUGUACUUUUGACAAACAGUAUACAUGAGUUGCCAGUGUCAUUUCGGUUGCUUUAAAUACUGUGUUCUCUUUCUUGUGUUUAAGAAUUCAAAUAAGCAAUUUUGCAUUGCAGAUCAUGAUGAUGACAACAAUGUGACAUACAAAUGCAUCUUGCUUUUGUUACUUCCUGUCAAUUGCAAUGUUCUGGUGUCUACAGCAGUAAACAAUCUGCAAGUAACAGAAGGAAUGGCCCUCUGGACAUGACUGAACCACUCCGGUGAAGCUUGUUCUCCAUCGGGCAAACCCGAAGACACUGCUCGCAGUGGCAAAGCGCAUAGGUGGCGACAAGGGUACCAUUGCGACCUCUGCCCCUACCACUCGAGGAAUAGGACAUCUUAUAAGCGACACAUGCUGACUCAUAGCGGUGAGAGGUCUUUUGGAUGCCCAGUCUGUUCAAGAAAGUUUGCACUUUUUCAAACACUCACAGAUCACAUGCGCA